UACAGGCUUAACACAUGCAAGUCGAGGGGCAGCAUGGUCUUAGCUUGCUAAGGCCGAUGGCGACCGGCGCACGGGUGAGUAACACGUAUCCAACCUGCCGUCUACUCUUGGACAGCCUUCUGAAAGGAAGAUUAAUACAAGAUGGCAUCAUGAGUCCGCAUGUUCACAUGAUUAAAGGUAUUCCGGUAGACGAUGGGGAUGCGUUCCAUUAGAUAGUAGGCGGGGUAACGGCCCACCUAGUCUUCGAUGGAUAGGGGUUCUGAGAGGAAGGUCCCCCACAUUGGAACUGAGACACGGUCCAAACUCCUACGGGAGGCAGCAGUGAGGAAUAUUGGUCAAUGGGCGAGAGCCUGAACCAGCCAAGUAGCGUGAAGGAUGACUGCCCUAUGGGUUGUAAACUUCUUUUAUAAAGGAAUAAAGUCGGGUAUGGAUACCCGUUUGCAUGUACUUUAUGAAUAAGGAUCGGCUAACUCCGUGCCAGCAGCCGCGGUAAUACGGAGGAUCCGAGCGUUAUCCGGAUUUAUUGGGUUUAAAGGGAGCGUAGAUGGACGUUUAAGUCAGUUGUGAAAGUUUGCGGCUCAACCGUAAAAUUGCAGUUGAUACUGGAUAUCUUGAGUGCAGUUGAGGCAGGCGGAAUUCGUGGUGUAGCGGUGAAAUGCUUAGAUAUCACGAAGAACUCCGAUUGCGAAGGCAGCCUGCUAAGCUGCAACUGACAUUGAGGCUCGAAAGUGUGGGUAUCAAACAGGAUUAGAUACCCUGGUAGUCCACACGGUAAACGAUGAAUACUCGCUGUUUGCGAUAUACUGCAAGCGGCCAAGCGAAAGCGUUAAGUAUUCCACCUGGGGAGUACGCCGGCAACGGUGAAACUCAAAGGAAUUGACGGGGGCCCGCACAAGCGGAGGAACAUGUGGUUUAAUUCGAUGAUACGCGAGGAACCUUACCCGGGCUUAAAUUGCAGAUGAAUUACGGUGAAAGCCGUAAGCCGCAAGGCAUCUGUGAAGGUGCUGCAUGGUUGUCGUCAGCUCGUGCCGUGAGGUGUCGGCUUAAGUGCCAUAACGAGCGCAACCCUUGUUGUCAGUUACUAACAGGUUCCGCUGAGGACUCUGACAAGACUGCCAUCGUAAGAUGUGAGGAAGGUGGGGAUGACGUCAAAUCAGCACGGCCCUUACGUCCGGGGCUACACACGUGUUACAAUGGGGGGUACAGAGGGCCGCUACCACGCGAGUGGAUGCCAAUCCCCAAAACCUCUCUCAGUUCGGACUGGAGUCUGCAACCCGACUCCACGAAGCUGGAUUCGCUAGUAAUCGCGCAUCAGCCACGGCGCGGUGAAUACGUUCCCGGGCCUUGUACACACCGCCCGUCAAGCCAUGGGAGCCGGGGGUACCUGAAGUGCGUAACCGCGAGGAGCGCCCUAGGGUAAAACUGGUGACUGGGGCUAAGU
rnacentral:rRNA from 1 species